GUUCAUUUAUUUUGUUUUCAUUUAUUUCAUUUGAAAAAUUUGAGUGUUGGGGUUUUAUUCAUAACACAUGGGUAAACCAUACCCAACCCAUAAUGAAAUGGUUUUCUAUAUAAAACCCACAUCUAACCCAUUUUCAUAAUUUACCUAACCCAAACCAUUUAAUUUGGUUUGGGUUUGGGUAAACCCAUGGGUUGUGGGUUUAUGCCCACCCCUACCCAUCAGUAUAUGACUUGGAUUUCUAUUUGGCAAACCAACCCAACACUUGUCCAUGACUGUCUCCUUUUAAUGCGCUACAAAUAUUAGUUAAAUAAAUCAUUUUAGUUCUUGAUUUCUACCAGGGGUGGGCAUUUUACCCGACCCGAUCCGAAAAAUUUCAGGUUCGGGUCGGAUCGGGUUGUUACUAAAACCCGAUCGGGUGAAAAAGUUAACCCGAUCGGGUCACCCGAACCAGAAUACCCAAUCGGGUCACCUAAAAAAAAAAACAGAUUACACACACCACAACCACUCACUCACAGUCACACGCACAGAAUCACAACUGUGAAUUCAUAGUCUAAGUCUCAACUCUCACACACAAAGUCACAAGAUUCACAACUCACACACUCACAAGUCACGGACUCACGGCCUCACACACAGUCACACACACAGGCCAACCGCCACACCACAACCACUCCACUCUCCAGUCUCCACGGAACAUAGAGCACACAUAGCAGCCACUCACGCACACAGGCCAUAGCCAAUCAGCCACGUCGCGAUCUGCUGCCUAGUGCCCACUGCCGCGAUCUGCUGCCCACAUCCUGCUGCUGCGAUCUGCCCACUUCUUGCUGCAGUGAUCUGCUGCCUCGAUCUGCCCACUUCCUACAGCCGUGAUCUGUUGCCUUGAUCUGCUGCCGCCUGCCGUGUUCCACCGUCGGCCGAUCUGCUGCUCCAAGCCUCCAAGCCCAAGGCCGAAGCUUCCAAGUUCCAACCGGACCAACCCGACUCGAGUUUCUCCCACUCUCACCCGAACCGAUUUGAAGCUUUGACUUUCAAGUUUCAAUUUCAAUCUUUCAUGGUAUAUUAUAUAGUUAUAUAUGCUUCUUAGUUAUUGCUUAAUUGGUUAUUUAUUAUGUAAUUGAUUAUUGUUUAAUUGUUGUAAAUUUGUAAUUAUGUAUUUUUAAAUGUUAGUAAUAAAAUCAAAAAAAUUGAUGUUUUUAUGAUUUUGUUAUGAAUAAAUUUUUAUUAAUUGUUAAUAAAUAACAAAAAUUUUGUUAAUUAUUAAGAUUUAUAUCAAUGUUAAUUGAUAAUUGUUAAUAAUUGUUAAUAACAAUUAAUAAUUUUUUUUAAUGAAUAAAUUAGGAGAUUAGGUAGAUAGAUUAAAUAUUAAAAUUAAAUAUGAUGUUACAUAUAUUUUCUAAUUAUAAUGUGUUAUUGUGUUAUGUGAUUAUGUGCACUUGUGCAAUCGCUUUAAACCUUCAACCUUAAAAAAUUAAUUAAUUCAAUUAAUAUUUUACUGUAUGUUAAUCAAUUUGGACUUGAAAUUAAAGGGUUUAUAAUAAGAAUUAGGACAUAGAUAGACAAAUAAUAUCAUAUUAUUAUGGGAAAUGGAUAAUUGGAUAUUAUAAAUUAAUUAUUUAAUCAUGAAUUUCUUGCUUUUGAUUUAUGGAUAUGAACAAUUUGAAUUGAAAUUACCAAUUAGAUUAUUUUUGAAUUAAUGAUUAUUAAUUAUUAUUUUGUAUAUUCAGAUGCUUGGACACUUUAAUUAUGUUUCCGAAAAAUUUAAUUAUGUUUAAAUUUUUUGAUUUUAUAUUUCAAACUUUCAAAGACUAGUAUUUAGAAAUUGUGCUUUGAAUGGAGACUAAUAGCCUAUUAACUUUAGAUUUUGUAAGUUUGUAAUAGCCUAUUAACUUUAGAUUUUGUAAGUUUGUAUUAAACUAUUAAUUUUAACUUUUAUUAGGUUUGGACUUUGUUGGUUGAGCAAAUAAUAAUCCUAAUCCCUUCCAAGACAAUAGGCAAAUAAUCAUAUUCUUGCAUUUUAACUUUAUUCAUUUGAUUUCAUAAUAUUUUCUUUUCUUUUUUUGGUUGAAAAUUAGUAAAAAGGAUUACAAUUAAGAAAAUGUUUUAAAACACCCUAAAACUACAAAAAUAGGAAAAAAAAAGAGCUAAAAAGUGCAUUAACCGGAUUUGACCCGAACCAACCCGAAAUGACCCGAAUGACCCGACCCGAUUUAAACCCGAACCCAAUUUAACCCGAAUUCAACCCGAAUUACUGACCCGAAUUAAUUCGGGUCGGUUCCCGUCGGGUCAGUAAUUCGGGUUAAAUUCGGGUUAAUUUUCACCCGACCCAAAAAACUUGAUCGGGUUGACCUGAACCCGACCCGAACCCGCUUUGACCCACCCCUAAUUUCUACUACUAAACAAGAUAUUUUCGUGUGAGCACAGUUUUGCAAUAUAAUAAAAAGAUCAUUUUACAAUUUUAUGGUUAAUUUCAUUAGAAUUUACAUACAUGAAAGCAAGCAAAGCCACAAGAAUCAGAGAAAAAGAUGUGAAAAUCAAAGUAUAUAUACAAGUACAACAAAUGUGAAAAUCAAAGUAUAUAUACAAGUACAACAAUAAUUAAUGUGAAAAACAGUUUCCAAUACCUUCUGUAAAGAAAUAUCCUCGCCAAGUGCUGAGAACUUCACUUGGCCAUCAAUUACAGAUAUAUAAAGCCUGUAACCUAGAAACAAAAAAUUAGGUCAGCAAGUCCUGAAACAUAUUUAUAAACCAACACUGGAGAUAGCACUCCAUUUACAAGCUCAAAACCAAGGUCAGCUCAGCAAAAUCAUCACCAAUUACAUUCAUCCAACUCAGCUCCUACACUAUCCUCAAUAUAUCCAACAUUCCCUUCAUAUUUACAAAAGGUAAGUAAUCCUACAUAUCCCACUCAAGAAUACAUAAGUUUCUUCAAUCUCAAGUACCGAAAGUUUUCUUCUACGUUUAUAAAAAUUUCGGCACCAUCUCCCUAAUAAUUCUCCAAGCACUAGACAUAGCUAUAUACGUGUUUAUGCGUUUUGCCAAAACAACACAUGACACCCAUCCACCUAGUACGUACCCAGAGAACACGAGGAGCAGCUACCGAAAAACCCAUUUUUACGUGGGAAAAAAACUUCAGCCACUAGCUACCAGAGAGAACUAUGCAUUCCCAAACUGUCCAAGCCUGGACAAUUCAAGAAUUAUUAAUAGACAUACGAUCCUCACUAUCAUCCAAGGAUGACACUAAUAAAACAUGUGUCUAUUAAUAAUUUCUUAAAACAAGUCUAAGCUUUCAAUGCACGUAUCAAAAGUUUAAAAUUGAAUCUGAAAUUUGAAUAACACAUAAAUAUCAUAAAUCUCUUCAAUUUAUUCCUGAUACAAUGUAACAUUAUUUCACAUAUCAUUUCUUAAGCAAAACCAUAAAAAAUCAAACGAUAAAUACAUUUUCGCACUGAUGCAGAUUCUGUUUACUGAGCAAUAAGUUUUAAGUCAUUCAUGUUGAAAUACUUCUUCCUAUUUUUUCAACAUAUAACUAGUACGUACGCACAAUUAAUAAAUUAAAAAAAACCUGGUGGUGAAUCUUGCAAAAUCUUCCUAUUUGUGUUUUUUUUUUUUUUUGGGGGUUGGGGGGCACUAUGAAUCUUGCAAAUCCUCGGGAGGCCAUGUUAAGACAAGGCCAGCUUACUAUUAGGGUAUGAAAGAUAAAACCUUUUAUUUCCUUUUCAGAAUAAAAAGAACAUCAACAGUGUUAAAAAAAAAAAAUCUUGAGGAUUUCAGGCCUCCAGAUCCUUACAAAUCAAGGAUAUUAAAAAAAUUUACUUAGAGGAGAUAGGUUAUGCUCAUUUGUAUCUUGUUAGAAGAAAUUGAUCCAAAGCCUCAGUUUUAAUUAGCUUCAUAUAGCCAAUGAUUAGGUUUUUAAAAACCAAUGAAUAUUUUUAUAAGAAAUCAACAAUAUUGCUGAAAGAAAAACCAAAUAAAAAUAAUAAAGCCAAUGAAUAGCUCAAGGCUCUUUAUGGUCUAAUAACUAAUCAAACUAAGUGGUGGACAAAGGCGAAUAUGUUUGUUUGGUCAUUAAUAAGCUCAACAAAUCACUAAUAAUCACCUAAUCACUAUUCCUUAUGCUAUGCAAUAUAAUGGCCUGGGUAAUGGCGCCAAGGCAGAUAAUAACUAGCUAGCCAGUUAUGAUAGUUGAUUAACUUAACCUACUGGAAAUCUGAAGACCAAAACGAAUAAGCUUUGCCUAGAACUAGAAUAGGAACAUUCAUACCCAAAACUGAUAUACACGAUUAAGAAACUUGAUUAUACGGAUAUGUCUGUUGGCCACACUUAAAGAGAAUUUUCAAAAGAUGCUAAGGUACACCAAAUCCCACUAUUUCAUACUCAUAAACACAAAAGACCAUGGCAAAAAUUAAUGACUAUAUCAAAUAAAAUCAGUCAUAGGACAACUUGAUUUGUAUACCGUAAAUCUGCAUAGUGAACUAUAUUUCUGUUAGAACUCUGAAGUUUUUCUAUUAAAAUUUUUUCCUCUGCUAGGAAAACCACUUUAACUGAAAUGCUUAAGUCAAUAUUGACAAUCAUAGACAUAAAAGUAUUAAUAGGCUCAUUCAAGUGAAAUGAGCAUUAUUUCACACAUCCUUUAGGUUUUUAAGUCAUUUAGAAGUCAUUCAUGUUAAAAAAAAAAAAAAUUCAUAUACUUUCAAUAUGAUUAGUACAUGCACAAUUAAUUAAUUAAAUAAAUCUGUUUCAGCUAAUAUAGGAACUUAAUUUAUCAAAGCUAGUAGUUAUAGCUAGGACUUGAACGAGGCACCUUUCAAAGUUCAAGAAGAGCAUCUGAACAGAAUGAAAGCACUUUGUAGAAAUGGUAAUGAUGCUUUACAUCUACAUGCUCUUACACAAUAUGAACUUUCAUUUACGCCAUUAUAAAAACUUUUGUAUUAUAAUUUCUGAAAAUAGAACGUACCAUUACUAAUAUAGAAUCAGCAAUGUAUAUUACUUAUCAGACAAUAUAACAAGCACUUGGUGAGCAUACAAGAUAAACUAAAACAAGUUAUCUAGAAAAUGAAACUAAAACCCAAGCUCCGCUAUUCAUUGUAGAAGCUUUAAACAUAAAAUUAAACUAAAUAUAAUAGCAAAACAUUAGAAUGGAUGUUGGAAUUAAAUCUAAAUUCAAUAGUAAUUCAAAUGAAUCCAUUUGAACUUUGUAAAUUCUGCAGAACAAAAUUAAUUUGAGUGAGCAAACUCACCAAUGGAACAAGAACACAGGGGCUUCAACUUGUAGGAAUAAAAAAAUAUUGCUGGCGGGACAAAAAUUGACAAUAACGGCUACAAUACGAAUUAAAAAAAAAAAUCAAAAUCUAUAAUUACAAGCUAAGUAAGAGAAGAAACUUAUAAUCACAAGCUUAACUCAAAAGAUGAAGGGAGAAUACGAUGAAGAAGAAGAUGGCCAGUGUUUUACGCCGUUCGCCGGCAACCAGUUAGGUUUACGAUGGUGGCUAGUAACACGGAGUCCAGCGAAUAGUAGCAUACCGAACGGCUCUUUACCGUCACGUGGUUAGUAACAUAUGUGACCGCAGUGUGGCCGUCACAUAAAAGGUAUCGGGGUUACAAAGUUAGUGAUAUACGUAAUGGCUGCUUUUGCCUUCUAGGGGUCACAUAUACCAUAUUUUCUUGUAGUACAUGGUAAAUUCUAUUUGAAAAUUGCUAAGUAUUUU
rnacentral:lncRNA from 1 species